CAGCCGCCACGGGAAUACGGAGGGUCCAAGCGUUAAUCGGAAUUACUGGGCGUAAAGCGCACGCAGGCGGUCUGACAAGUCAGAUGUGAAAUCCCCGGGCUUAACCUGGGAACUGCAUUUGAAACUGUCAGGCUGGAGUCUUGUAGAGGGGGGUAGAAUUCCAGGUGUAGCGGUGAAAUGCGUAGAGAUCUGGAGGAAUACCGGUGGCGAAGGCGGCCCCCUGGACAAAGACUGACGCUCAGGUGCGAAAGCGUGGGGAGCAAACAGGAUUAGAUACCCCUGUAGUCCCUGUCUCUUAUAC
rnacentral:rRNA from 1 species